AUGUCACGCCUCCAAGCGGUGAUACUCCGCGUGUGGAUUUUGGGGGUGUGACACCAAUUCAUUACAUUCGAUUCGUUAUCAUUCGAUUUCACUAAAUCAAAACCUCAACAUCGAUCAUAUAACUUUUUGUUUACAAUCGAAUUCGUUAUCCUUUGAUUUGUGUAUAGGUUAUGAAUGUCAAAUUGAUCAUUAUCUUAUGCAGAAGACGUGUUCAUCUAUCUCAAACCUGAAUUUGGGGAUUUGAAGGAGGAGGAGCAAGCGAGCACAUCUGAGUUCGAUUUUUCGUAGUUAUAAAUACAGGUGAUCGUUGAGUUGAUGUUAGUGAUGCUUUUGAGUGUGUUUGCUGGAUUGACUGUGCCCGGAAGUUUUUCGUUUGAUCCUCUUGGAUUCGGAUGAGAAUAGGUUACGCCAUAGAGCUCCCGACUGGAGUGGGCUGCAUAGUGAGGAAUACUGUUAUCUUGCUCAUCAGGUUUAGCAAUAGUAGACCCUGCUUCUUGAGAUCAACCACUUUAUAAUGAAGACAAAUCGAUCAUGGUCACAGUGAAUGGGGAGAUUUACAACCCUAAUGAGUUGAGGGAGAAACUGAAGUCUCAUAAGUUCAAUAUCAGAAGCGUCUGCGAAAUGGUUGCCCAUCUUGUAACUACUUUUGUAACUUCUGCAGCAAGGGUGCAUUUGUCAAAUUAACUUUGGUUUACUUUGUGUGCACACCAGUUUACAUUCUUCUUAGGGUUGGGGUUUAGCAUUUGAGGUGAUAGAUAGGUGAGUUAGGUAAUGGUUGAAUACGAGGUUCAUGGUAAAACAAGUUGUUGACAUUAGUAUUUGUGGCCAAAAUGUGAACCUACAGUGUGCAGUCCUAAUAUGCACCCAUUUUGACCUGUA